UACGGAGGGUGCAAGCGUUAUCCGGAUUCACUGGGUUUAAAGGGUGCGUAGGAGGGCAGGUAAGUCAGUGGUGAAAUCCUUCGGCCCAACCGAAGAACGUCGGCCGAUACUGCCGUUCUUGAGGGAUGCAGAGGAGACUGGAAUUCCCGGUGUAGCGGUGAAAUGUGUAGAGAUCGGGAGGAACACCGGUGGCGAAGGCGGGUCUCUGGGCAUUUCCUGACGCUGAGGCGCGAAAGCGUGGGGAGCAAACGGG
rnacentral:rRNA from 1 species